rnacentral:tRNA from 1 species
GGAGAGGAUGAUCGUCCGGUUGGCAUCCGCGGGCUUCAAACCCGUUGGGAGGCAGGUUUCCUGUCUCUGGUAGGUUCGACUCCUACCCUCUCCACCA